UGGGGAAUCUUGCACAAUGGGGGCAACCCUGAUGCAGCGACGCCGCGUGAGCGAUGAAGCCCUUCGGGGCGUAAAGCUCUUUCGACCGGAACGAUAAUGACGGUACCGGGAGAAGAAGCUGCGGCUAACUACGUGCCAGCAGCCGCGGUAAUACGUAGGGGGCAAGCGUUGUCCGGAUUUACUGGGUGUAAAGGGCGCGCAGGCGGAAUGGAAAGUCAGUGGUGAAAUCCUACAGCUUAACUGUAGAACUGCCUUUGAUACUUUCAUUCUUGAGUUCGGGAGAGAGAGACGGAAUUCCAGGUGUCGUGGUGAAAUGCGUAGAUAUCCGGAGGAACACCAGUGGCGAAAGCGGCUUCCUGGACUGUAACUGACGCUCAGACGCGAAAGCUAGGGUAGCAAACG
rnacentral:rRNA from 1 species